GAUGAAGAACGCAGCGAAAUGCGAUAAGUAAUGUGAAUUGCAGAAUUCAGUGAACCAUCGAAUCUUUGAACGCACAUUGCGCCCGGCAGUAAUCUGCCGGGCAUGCCUGUCCGAGCGUCAUUUCUCCCCUCGAGCGCAGCUUUCCCCCCCCGGGGGAGGGCCGCGCCCGGUGUUGGGGCGCUACGGAGGAGCCCAGCGCUCCCCCGUAGGCCCCGAAAUGUAGUGGCGGUCCCGCCGCGGCGCCCCCUGCGUAGUAGUUUUACAACUCGCAUCGGGUCCCGGCGGAGGCCAGCCGUCAAACCCCCCAACUUCAAUAGUUUGACCUCGGAUCAGGUAGGGUUACCCGCUGAACUUAAGCAUAUCAAUAAGCGGAGGA
rnacentral:misc_RNA from 1 species